rnacentral:misc_RNA from 1 species
ACAUCUCAACUCUCAUGGUUUUCCAUGAUGAGAUUGGACUUUGGGGGACUUGUUGGCUUGUGUUCAACUCCCCUCAAAUCUAUCAGCUUCCCAGUGUUUGGCAGCAUCACAAGUGUGAUAAAUAUCUACGCCUGUGGUCCUUUGCCAAGUCUGUCCUCUCUUGCAGAGGGCUCGCUGGAGCUUAUAGAUGUCUCUCCUUGGUGGAGACAGCUGUUUGAA